rnacentral:rRNA from 1 species
GACGAACGCUGGCGGCGUGCUUAACACAUGCAAGUCGAACGGAAAGGCCCUGCUUUUGUGGGGUGCUCGAGUGGCGAACGGGUGAGUAACACGUGAGUAACCUGCCCUUGACUUUGGGAUAACUUCAGGAAACUGGGGCUAAUACCGGAUAGGAGCUCCUGCUGCAUGGUGGGGGUUGGAAAGUUUCGGCGGUUGGGGAUGGACUCGCGGCUUAUCAGCUUGUUGGUGGGGUAGUGGCUUACCAAGGCUUUGACGGGUAGCCGGCCUGAGAGGGUGACCGGGCACCAUGGGACUGAGAGACGGCCCAGAAUGCUACCGGGGGCAAGAGGGGGGAAUAUUGCACAAUGGGCGGAAGCCUGAUGCAGCAACGCCGCGUGCGGGAUGACGGCCUUCGGGUUGUAAACCGCUUUCGCCUGUGACGAAGCGUGAGUGACGGUAAUGGGUAAAGAAGCACCGGCUAACUACGUG